GACGAAGGAUGCAAGCGUUAUCCGGAUUCAUUGGGUUUAAAGGGCGCGUAGGUGGUCUACUAAGUCAGUGGUGAAAUCUCUCGGCUUAACUGAGAAAUUGCCAUUGAUACUGGUGGACUUGAGUGUAGUUGCCGUUGGCGGAAUGUGACAUGUAGUGGUGAAAUACAUAGAGAUGUCAUAGAACACCGAUUGCGAAGGCAGCUGACGAAACUAUAACUGACACUGAGGCUCGAAAGUGUGGGGAUCAAACAGG
rnacentral:rRNA from 1 species